CAUUAAAUGACUGAAAGUAAGUUUUGAUUUUUUAAGUCAAAUCAUAGUAGACUAACAUCUACUUUUAAUG
rnacentral:tRNA from 1 species